GAUGAACGCUGGCGGCGUGCCUAAUACAUGCAAGUCGAGCGAACAGACGAGGAGCUUGCUCCUCUGACGUUAGCGGCGGACGGGUGAGUAACACGUGGAUAACCUACCUAUAAGACUGGAAUAACUUCGGGAAGCCGGAGCUAAUACCGGAUAAUAUAUUGAACCGCAUGGUUCAAUAGUGAAAGACGGUUUUGCUGUCACUUAUAGAUGGAUCCGCGCCGCAUUAGCUAGUUGGUAAGGUAACGGCUUACCAAGGCAACGAUGCGUAGCCGACCUGAGAGGGUGAUCGGCCACACUGGAACUGAGACACGGUCCAGACUCCUACGGGAGGCAGCAGUAGGGAAUCUUCCGCAAUGGGCGAAAGCUUGACGGAGCAACGCCGCGUGAGUGAUGAAGGUCUUCGGAUCGUAAAACUCUGUUAUUAGGGAAGAACAAAUGUGUAAGUAACUAUGCACGUCUUGACGGUACCUAAUCAGAAAGCCACGGCUAACUACGUG
rnacentral:rRNA from 1 species